rnacentral:lncRNA from 1 species
CAGGUCUAAUCACUGUUACGUAUAACAAUCUCCCUAUAAGUUUUUAAUAUUGUCACGACCCAAAGUACAUCCUAGUCGUAACAUGGCGUAUAGGACCUCGAGAGACCCAAUACAAGUCACUUAGCAUACAUAUACAAGAUAAUAGAAUCUUAAAGAGUUCAAAAGACAUUUGAAUCAUAAAGAGUUCCAUCAAAAACAGAAGUCUAACAUAAGUCUCAAAGCCACUAUUGGAAAGUGAUUGAAACGUAACCCAUACAUCACAAUAUGAAAUGAAAAGAUUUGAAAGCAAUAAAGAAUCUUGGUCCUCGGAACAUGAGGACUCACCAAUCUUCAAUGUCUAUAUGGGAUCACUGGCCACGAGUGUGCGGAAUGGAAGCGUCGGACCCUACAUUAGUGAAACAAUGUAGGCACAAGUAUGCAUUAGUACAUGGAAUGUACUAAGUAUGAUAACAAUGCAUAAAGAGUAAUGAAAUCUUGCUAAAAGGGACUUUAUAUGACAUGCAAUGAUCAAGCUAAAUCAUAAAAUAACAUGUUAGAAGACAUAAGUCGAAAUCAUGGUCAAUGCAAGCUAAACAUCUUUAAAACACAUUUGAGAUACUUCUAGAAGUAACCUUAGUUCAUUCUUGUGGGAAGUUUGCCAUUAACUGACAUAGACCAUGUGAGCUAUAACAUGGAAUCUAGUGUCUAUUCCACAUCGAAAAGAGAUGUCCUUACUUGCCAAGGUAAGAACCAUAAACUUCUAGCUUAGGUGGAUCCACUAGCUAAUCUCUAUCUAAGACAACCUAUGGUGACACAUAGUUAUGUGAUAGGGAGAUUGCUACUAGAAACCCAGCCUCAACUAUGGGAGAGCUUCCAUCUUGAUAUCCUCUCGGUGCUAAUUAAGCAUAAAUCCCACGGAAUAGUCAUUAAUCUUAACUUAUCUUAUUAUCCAUGGAAGGGCACAUGAAGUAGCCAAUCAAAGCUAGAAUUCAUUAUAGCCAAUCCUAGGUGAGAAAACCUUUCAACCUUGUGAAUCAUUUAUGUGAGCAAAUCCUUUCACAAUAACUUCAUAUGUGAGAAAUCCUUUCACAACAACAAUUCAUAAAGAAACAUGCAUAUCUUCAUAAAUUCAUCUUUCAUAUUUCAAAAGCUUCAUCAUAUAAUCAAAAUCCAGAAAAUUAUGGAUCAUGCAUGGGUUCAAUUGCAUUGAACUUAAAAACAUGUAGUUAUCUCAAUUCAUGCAUAAAAAUACAUAAAACAAUCAAUUGGAUCAUAAUUGAGAGCAACCCAUGAAAUUGAAUAAAACCCUAAUUUCAAUUGGAGAACUCUAACUUGUAAUAUUGGAGAAUUUAGGAACCUUAUGGAGGAAAGAACUCCACAGGUGAAUACUAUCAUACCUUGAUGUCAAAAACCCCCAAUCAAUGGUGAAUUUGGAGACUGGAUCCUGAAACCCUAGACUAGUUUAUCAAACAUAUCAAGCCUAUUUAAGAAUGACAAGAAGGUACAUCUAUUAAUUGCCUGUGUAGACUUUGGCCUAUUCAAGAAUGACAAGAAACAACAUGCAUUAAUUAGUUUUUGUACAUUUCGGGUUACCUAAAAUGUUAACAAUAACAUACUUUUUGCAGUCUUCCAACUGGGAUCUUUGAAGGGUAGGAUGUAAGCAGAUCUUACCUCUACCUUCGUAAGUCAGAGACUAAAAAACUCUCGAUUCAAAAGGAAAGUACCUAGGAUACAAAAGAAAUGUAACAAUAAGAGGUUACCUAAAUGUUACUGAUGGUAAUCGUCCAUAAAAUACAAUAAGUUAAAUGCAAUCAUGUAUAGUUGGCUCAUCACUUCGUUUGAGUUGGAUGUUGGUUUGCAACCAUUGCAGGAAGAAUCAGUACUAAGUAAUUAGGAAAAGGAAAUUGAACAGAUAGAGCAACAACAAAAUACAUGUUUUAUCGCAAAUACUUCUUAACUAAAUCAAUCAACAAAGAAAAUAAAAACAACAUUCAGCUGCAAAAUUCUCUUUUGUAUUCAGAUUGCAUAACGACAAUCACAAGAAGCUCAGCUCAAAAACAUAAAAAACUGAAUUGUAUCGCAACUUCAAGCAACAUGAGAAAUUGUAGCUAUAACUUAUAGAACAACCUUGAAUUCCUUAAAAUACCUAUAGAAAUAACCUAUUAUAAUCAAGAAACUCGCCUUGAAACUAUAUACUCAAGUGAAAUCCUCACUAACCACAUAACUGAAAAGUAGCAAUAAGAUGAUUUUCAGUUCACUCGAGUAGCCAACAUGUCUAUAGAUAUGAUUGCACAAGUGUAUAAACAAAUUCGUAACAAUGACCACGAUUUAAUUUUCUGACUGUUCUUCCCUCAUUUCAAACAAAUCAUACUAAUUACUCCCAAACUCCAAAAAAAAGAAAACAAUCAAACCAUGUAAAGACAAAAGCAUAAAGUACCUGUAACAAUUAGCAAAGUUCAAAAAAAAAAAUUCAAUUACAAUACUUAGAAACCAGUAGAACACGAAUUGAAAAUAUUGAUUCUUAAUUUCAGCUUCAAUUCUACAAAAAUUGAAACAAGUAGAAAUAGGAAUUACUUAACAAAUCAUAUAUAUAAAUAUAUCAAAAUAUAUUAAAAACUCGAAGAGAUUUAACUCGAAGCUCCAAUUCUCCUUCAGAAAUUCAUACUAAGAACAACUCUUCUUUCACACACACAUACACUAUCAUAGAAGGUUGUGAACGUGUUCAGAAAUUUCUCAAACUUGUGAGAAAUACCAAAACCCUACCUGAAACGAAGUUGAUGAAGCGAGAUCUUCUUGCUCCUAAGCAAACUAGUAAUGGAUGACCCACUUCUCAAUGGACUCUUCGAUCAAGACCUUCCGACGAUAACCCACACACCACCUCUUCCUUAUAUGCCGAGAAGAAACCUUGUUUUCUUUCCAUUUCCUGGAAAAAAUCAAAAUCCCAAAAUAUUUUUCAACCAAACAAAUAGACUUAAGGGUUAGCAUGAACGAAAUUUCUAGGUCAUAAAUUGCAUAAUCACAUAAGAGAGUAGAAUCUAGAAAGGGCACUUAGCUGAAGAGAUGGAGCAAAAUUCUUUAAGAAUGAAAUUUAGGUCUCUGCUUCUAUUUUUUUCUGGUAAUUACUCCUUAAUAUCGACAAUGUCUUCCAAUAAUAGCAUUACAAUCAAAAUGGUAUAUCAUAACAAACC